AUUGAACGCUGGCGGCAUGCCUUACACAUGCAAGUCGAACGGUAACAGGUUAAGCUGACGAGUGGCGAACGGGUGAGUAAUGUAUCGGAACGUGCCCAGUCGUGGGGGAUAACUGCUCGAAAGAGCAGCUAAUACCGCAUACGACCUGAGGGUGAAAGCGGGGGAUCGCAAGACCUCGCGCGAUUGGAGCGGCCGAUAUCAGAUUAGGUAGUUGGUGAGGUAAAGGCUCACCAAGCCGACGAUCUGUAGCUGGUCUGAGAGGACGACCAGCCACACUGGGAAUGAGACACGGCCCAGAGUCCUACGGGAGGCGGCAGUGGGGAAUUUUGGACAAUGGGCGCAAGCCUGAUCCAGCCAUGCCGCGUGCGGGAAGAAGGCCUUCGGGUUGUAAACCGCUUUUGUCAGGGAAGAAAAGGUUCUGGCUAAUACCUGGGACUCAUGACGGUACCUGAAGAAUAAGCACCGGCUAACUACGUG
rnacentral:rRNA from 1 species